UAAUUAAAUAUGCGGCUGACUCUCCAUGCUCUUGCUCGCUAGCAGCCGCACAGAGGAGAAGCGGCUGAGGAGAGGAAGGAAGGAGUCUAUCACAUCAUCUCUCUGUCCACAGGCUUUCCUUGGGGCUUAUGAAGAUUUCUUCUCACCAACCCCUCUUCACCCGUCGGAGCCGGAAGGAUGUGUGGAUAGACGGCUUAAGAACAAAAUGAACUGGAGUUUUUUGAGAGUCCUUUGAGGCCUGCUUGGAUAUUUCCCUCCCUUCCUCCCAAGCCACCACCUCCUUCGGUGGAAUAGAAGGGGAUUGCAGAGGCAAAGCUAGACUAGGUCUUGGAGGCUGGUGUAAGGUGG
ensembl:processed_transcript